rnacentral:rRNA from 1 species
CCUACGGGAGGCAGCAGUGAGGAAUAUUGGUCAAUGGGCGCAAGCCUGAACCAGCCAAGUCGCGUGAGGGAAGACGGUCCUAUGGAUUGUAAACCUCUUUUGUCGGGGAGCAAAAGACGCCACGUGUGGCGUUCCGAGAGUACCCGAAGAAAAAGCAUCGGCUAACUCCGUGCCAGCAGCCGCGGUAAUACGGAGGAUGCGAGCGUUAUCCGGAUUUAUUGGGUUUAAAGGGUGCGCAGGCGGAAGAUAAAGUCAGCGGUAAAAUUGAGAGGCUAAACCGCGCGGAGCCGUUGAAACUGGUUUUCUGGAGUGAGUGAGAGGUAUGCGGAAUGGUUGGUGUAGCGGUGAAA